rnacentral:ncRNA from 1 species
GCGAUUGCUGAAAGGAGAGGCCGUUGGCAUCUCCCCUGAUUGGGACUGGAACAGUCUUUUGGCUCAUACGUUACUGGAUACAGAUGCAGUUAAGGUUUCCCACUUCUAUUGAGGUGUAUAUUACCAACUAUGUUUCUUU